rnacentral:rRNA from 1 species
AUUGAACGCUGGCGGCAGGCUUAACACAUGCAAGUCGAGCGGAGAGAGGUAGCUUGCUACUGAUCUUAGCGGCGGACGGGUGAGUAAUGCUUAGGAAUCUGCCUAUUAGUGGGGGACAACAUUUCGAAAGGAAUGCUAAUACCGCAUACGUCCUACGGGAGAAAGCAGGGGAUCUUCGGACCUUGCGCUAAUAGAUGAGCCUAAGUCGGAUUAGCCAGUUGGUGGGGUAAAGGCCUACCAAGGCGACGAUCUGUAGCGGGUCUGAGAGGAUGGUCCGCCACACUGGGACUGAGACAAGGCCCAGACUCCUACGGGAGGCAGCAGUGGGGAAUAUUGGACAAUGGGCGCAAGCCUGAUCCAGCCAUGCCGCGUGUGUGAAGAAGGCCUUAUGGUUGUAAAGCACUUUAAGCGAGGAGGAGGCUACUUUAGUUAAUACCUAGAGAUAGUGGACGUUACUCGCAGAAUAAGCACCGGCUAACUCUGUGCCAGCCGCCGCCGUAAUAC